UACGGGAGGCAGCAGUGGGGAAUAUUGCACAAUGGGCGCAAGCCUGAUGCAGCCAUGCCGCGUGUAUGAAGAAGGCCUUCGGGUUGUAAAGUACUUUCAGUCGUGAGGAAGGUGUUAAGGUUAAUAACCUUAGCAAUUGACGUUAGCGACAGAAGAAGCACCGGCUAACUCCGUGCCAGCAGCCGCGGUAAUACGGAGGGUGCGAGCGUUAAUCGGAAUUACUGGGCGUAAAGGGCACGCAGGCGGUUAAUUAAGUUGGAUGUGAAAUCCCCGGGCUUAACCUGGGAAUGGCAUUCAAGACUGGUUAGCUAGAGUCUUGUAGAGGGGGUAGAAUUCCGAUGUGUAGCGGUGAAAUGCGUAGAGAUGUGGAGGAAUACCGGUGGCGAAGGCGGCCCCUGGACAAGACUGACGCUCAUGUGCGAAAGCGUGGGGAGCAAACAGGGAUUAGGAU
rnacentral:rRNA from 1 species